GGCUUCAUAGUGCUAGUGGUUAGCACGUCUGCUUUACACAUAGAAGGUCCUGGGUUCGCUCUCCAGGUGGAGCCA
rnacentral:tRNA from 1 species